UGGGGAAUAUUGGACAAUGGGCGCAAGCCUGAUCCAGCCAUGCCGCGUGAGUGACGAAGGUCUUCGGAUUGUAAAGCUCUUUUAGCAGGGAAGAUAAUGACGGUACCUGCAGAAUAAGCCCCGGCUAACUUCGUGCCAGCAGCCGCGGUAAUACGAAGGGGGCUAGCGUUGUUCGGAAUUACUGGGCGUAAAGCGCACGUAGGCGGAUUGAUAAGUUAGAGGUGAAAUCCCGGGGCUCAACCUCGGAACUGCCUUUGAUACUGUUAGUCUCGAGUCCGAUAGAGGUGAGUGGAAUUCCUAGUGUAGAGGUGAAAUUCGUAGAUAUUAGGAAGAACACCAGUGGCGAAGGCGGCUCACUGGAUCGGUACUGACGCUGAGGUGCGAAAGCGUGGGGAGCAAACAGGAUUAGAUACCCGAGUAGUCCCUGAGCGGGCUGGCAAGGCGCAU
rnacentral:rRNA from 1 species